CCAGUAGGCGGUGGACUAAGUCGGACGUGAAAGCUCCGGGCUCAACCGGGAGAGGCCGUUCGAGACUGGUCGACUGGAGGGCAGUAGAGGCGCGUGGAAUUCCGGGUGGAGUGGUGAAAUGCGUAGAGAUCCGGAGGAACACCAGAGGCGAAGGCGACGCGCUGGGCUGCACCUGACGCUGAGAGGCGAAAGCCGAGGGGAGCGAACG
rnacentral:rRNA from 1 species